rnacentral:rRNA from 1 species
UACGGAGGGGGCUAGCGUUGCUCGGAAUUACUGGGCGUAAAGCGCAUGUAGGCGGCGAUUCAAGUUAGAUGUGAAAGGCCCGGGCUCAACCCGGGAACUGCAUUUGAUACUGAAUUGCUAGAGUCCAAGAGAGGGUAGUGGAAUUCCCAGUGUAGAGGUGAAAUUCGUAGAUAUUGGGAAGAACACCAGUGGCGAAGGCGGCUACCUGGCUUGGUACUGACGCUCAGAUGCGAAAGCGUGGGGAGCAAACAGG